UGGGGAAUAUUGGGCAAUGGGGGCAACCCUGACCCAGCGACGCCGCGUGAGGGAAGACGGCCUUCGGGUUGUAAACCUCUUUUGUACGGGAAGAAGGAAGUGACGGUACUGUACGAAUAAGUCCCGGCUAACUACGUGCCAGCAGCCGCGGUAAUACGUAGGGGACGAGCGUUGUCCGGAAUUACUGGGCGUAAAGGGCGCGCAGGCUGUGCUGCAAGUCAGCUGUGAAAUAUCUGGGCUUAACCUGGAUAUGCGGUUGAGACUGCAGUGCUGGAGUUCUGUAGAGGCAAGUGGAAUUCCCAGUGUAGCGGUGAAAUGCGUAGAUAUUGGGAAGAACACCGGUGGCGAAGGCGACUUGCUGGGCAGCAACUGACGCUGAGGCGCGAAAGCCAGGGGAGCAAACG
rnacentral:rRNA from 1 species